UUCGGGCGCCGGCGAGUGGCGAACGGGUGAGUAACACGUGGAGACCUAUCCAUUGGUGGGGGACAACAGCUGGAAACGGCUGCUAAUACCGCAUAAUCCCUACGGGGGAAAGAUUUAUCGCCAUAGGAGGGUUCCGCGUCGGAUUAGCUAGUUGGUGGGGUAACGGCCUACCAAGGCGACGAUCCGUAGCUGGUCUUAGAGGAUGAUCAGCCACACUGGGACUGAGACACGGCCCAGACUCCUACGGGAGGCAGCAGUGGGGAAUAUUGCGCAAUGGGGGAAACCCUGACGCAGCGAUGCCGCGUGGGUGAAGAAGGCCUUAGGGUUGUAAAGCCCUUUCAGUGGGAACGAUCGUGACGGUACCCACAGAAGAAGCCCCGGCUAACUCCGUGCCAGCAGCCGCGGUAAUACGGAGGGGGCGAGCGUUGUUCGGAAUUACUGGGCGUAAAGCGCGCGUAGGCGGUUUAUCAUG
rnacentral:rRNA from 1 species